ACUCGUUAAUAAUAUUUUUUUUUUGUUUCCUUGUGCAUGUGGAUUCGAUUACUUAUAUUCCCAUUGCUAUGAGAUGGAAACGUGUUGUUAAUGACUCCGAAGUAUAGCUGUAUUAUUCAAAGUUUGAUUCUUACAACAUGGACAGGACAACAGUACUUCAAAGUAACAAUGAUCCUGAAAAAACUUUAAUAGAGAUGGCAUUAGGCAUGAUCCAAACGAAAAGUCAGGUCUGCCAAUGGGAGUUCACAAACAUAUCUACUAAUGAAGAGUGACUGUAUUAAUAAACAUUGAUAAAGGUGGAAUCACUUUGGCUUCGAUCAACCAGUGCGGCUUCCAUGGCCUAAUCUCAUCAAGGUAAACCAUCUUUUGUUUUGAUGACAUUGUGAAAAACGUUAAAAGUAUGUUUGUGUUUGCUUUGAGGUUAAAACGUAGUAUAUAUAAGAAAAGUAAA